AUUGAUAUAACCAGUGCCUUGUUAACAGAUGUGACCUGAUCUUUGCAGGGCCUGUCUCAGAUACUUACCUGUAUAUACCUGUGGGAGGAAGAAGAAAAAGGCAACUUUCAGCUUGAAGGCCAAGGUGUUACUACUUAGAAUUUAGGGCACAGAAGGCUGGUGUGUGUCGGCAGUGAUAUUUGGGAGAAUGAGUCUGUUUGGGAGACACUUUAGGUCAUACCAGCAGCAGCUGCUGACAUAUGAACCUCGCAGAUGAAGAUGCCAUAGCAUGGCUAUUUCUCGACUGCACUGCUGAAGUUUAAGAACAUCAACCAGACUGCUGUGUUGAGAAGAAUACAGACACUGCAUUCAGAUUCAGUGAGAAAGAGUGCUUUGAUCAACUAAUAUUUUCUGCAGUGGUCCAUCCAUGUGUGUUGGGUUUUACUGUUCCUGGCUUAAGCAUUCUCUACAACCAUGAGCUUGCAACUAAAAUGCUGAGAAAUGUAUGGCUACCAUAAAGCCAGUUUAAAUCUAUAUGCCAAAAGGCCUUAUUUAAA
rnacentral:lncRNA from 1 species